rnacentral:rRNA from 1 species
UAGGGAAUCUUCCACAAUGGACGAAAGUCUGAUGGAGCAACGCCGCGUGAGUGAUGAAGGGUUUCGGCUCGUAAAACUCUGUUGUUGGAGAAGAACGGGUGUCAGAGUAACUGUUGACAUCGUGACGGUAUCCAACCAGAAAGCCACGGCUAACUACGUGCCAGCAGCCGCGGUAAUACGUAGGUGGCAAGCGUUGUCCGGAUUUAUUGGGCGUAAAGCGAGCGCAGGCGGUUUUUUAGGUCUGAUGUGAAAGCCUUCGGCUUAACCGGAGAAGUGCAUCGGAAACCGGGAGACUUGAGUGCAGAAGAGGACAGUGGAACUCCAUGUGUAGCGGUGAAAUGCGUAGAUAUAUGGAAGAACACCAGUGGCGAAGGCGGCUGUCUGGUCUGCAACUGACGCUGAGGCUCGAAAGCAUGGGUAGCGAACAGGAUUAGAUACCCUGGUAGUCCAUGCCGUAAACGAUGAGUGCUAAGUGUUGGAGGGUUUCCGCCCUUCAGUGCUGCAGCUAACGCAUUAAGCACUCCGCCUGGGGGAGUACGACCGCAAGGUUGAAAC